rnacentral:pre_miRNA from 1 species
GUCACCUGGAGAUCUUGUUAAAAUGCAGACUCUGAUUCAGUAGACCUGCGGUGGGGCCUGAGGUUCUGCAUGUCUAACAAGUUCCCAGGUGUGGAGAU